UAGUCCGCACGAGCGCACCCUUAUCCUUAGUUGCCAGCACGUAAUGGUGGGAACUCUAACGANACUGCCGGUGACAAACCGGAGGAAGGUGGGGACGACGUCAAGUCAUCAUGGCCCUUACGAGAUGGGCUACACACGUGCUACAAUGGCAAGUACAAAGGGUUGCAAACUCGCGAGAGUAAGCGGAUCCCAUAAAGCUUGUCGUAGUCCGGAUUGGAGUCUGCAACUCGACUCCAUGAAGUCGGAAUCGCUAGUAAUCGUGGAUCAGAAUGCCACGGUGAAUACGUUCCCGGGCCUUGUACACACCGCCCGUCACACCAUGAGAGUGGGCUGCAAAAGAAGUGGAUAGCUUAACCUUCGGGAGGGCGUUCACCACUUUGUGGUUCAUGACUGGGGUGAAGUCGUAACAAGGUAGCCGUAGGGGAACCUGCGGCUGGAUCACCUCCUU
rnacentral:rRNA from 1 species